rnacentral:rRNA from 1 species
UACGUAGAAGACUAGUGUUAGUCAUCUUUAUUAGGUUUAAAGGGUACCUAGACGGUAAAUUAAACUUUAAUUGAGUACUUUUUUACUAGAGUUUUAUAAGAGAAGGAAGAACCUUUGGAGUAGUGAUAGAAUACUUUGAUACCAAAGGGACUGGUGUCGGCGAAGGCAUCUUUCUAUGUAAAAACUGACGUUGAGGGACGAAGGCUUGGGUAGCAAGAAGG